rnacentral:rRNA from 1 species
UUUUUGGAGAGUUUGAUCUUGGCUCAGGACGAACGCUGGCGGCGUGCCUAAUACAUGCAAGUCGAGCGCUGGAAGCUAAUUUCAUCCCUUCGGGAUGAAAUUAGUGGAAAGAGCGGCGGACGGGUGAGUAACACGUGGGCAACCUACCUAUAAGACUGGGAUAACUCGCGGAAACGUGAGCUAAUACCGGAUAAUACUUUUUAUUGCAUAAUAAGGAGUUUGAAAGGCGGCGUAAGCUGUCACUUAUAGAUGGGCCCGCGGCGCAUUAGCUAGUUGGUGAGGUAAAGGCUCACCAAGGCAACGAUGCGUAGCCGACCUGAGAGGGUGAUCGGCCACAC